GGUGUCUAUAGCCUGUCCCUGCAGGCUUUUUAAUCUAAACACACACUGUGUGCAGCACUGGUGUUAGUUCAUAUGGCAGAUCAUAUGGGUGGGGCAUUGUGAUGUCACAUGGGGGGGCGGCAAAUUUUUCUUUUGCCUAGGGCGGCAAAAAUCCUUGCACCGGCUCUGUGUAUAGAUUACAUUUUUAUGCCAACCUAAACAGACAGACAGGUUUAUUCACUACAGUGUCAAUUGACAACAUUUCAAAGUUAAUUUAACCGUUUGGCCAAAAUAAGGAAACUGUAAAUCCUCCAACAGUUUUCACUGAAGUCAAAAGUUACCUACUAAGCCCUCAUUGAACACUUUUCUAACAACCUACUUCGUACCCCUACUUUUACCCUUUGUGUCACUAUAGAAACUGUUAAUAGCUCCCGACUGAUUUCUCUCAUGCAACUGUCAUUAGUCUAAUACUAUCCUUACCUUUUGUGUCACUUUAC